AAAAAUAAGCCUGUAAUCAGUUUAAAUGCUUUUGGACUACCUGUGGGCGAACACUCACAUAGGUUGACUACAAGAAGUGGAGAGUUGGUUCGCACCCAUGUCUCUAUUGCCAUCAAGGAUUGGCGUGUAGUGCUAAUGAGUAAGAAAGAAGAACUUUGGAAGCUCUUACAGGACGAGUUUGUUAUUCCUCAAUCUUACAAGGAGAAAUGCUUUAAAAGCAUGUCCGAUAUGUUUAGGAAGUACAAGUGUAAAUUGAGGAUGAAGUACCUCGAUCCUCAUUCAAAUCUUGAUUCCAAAUUAAACAACCGUCCACCAAGAGUUAGGCCUGAAGAUUGGGAAAUGUUCAUUAAACAUAAUUCGGAUCCCAGAAUUGUAGAACAAAGGAAAAAAAUGCCGAGAAUAGGAAAAUUUUAAAAAUUUACCAUACGAGUGGCAGGCAUGGCCACGCGAGAAUCGAGGAAGAAAUGCAACGCCAAAAGAAAGAUGGAGACAACCUGAUUAGUAGAACUGAAGUAUGGAUUUAAAACCCAUACAAGAAAGGAUGGUUCUGUUCACAGUAAUGCGGCUUCACAUGUGGAAAAAGUCAAAGAGUUACUUGCUAGCGAAGGAAGUAAUUCCCAUGACAUCCUCAAUGAUCCAUUGACUCAAGUGUUUGGUCCUGAUAUAAGGGGUCGUGUUCGAGCUGUUGGGACCACCGUUUCCCAAUCACAAAUCAGGGGGUCUGCUGCAGCUCUUGAAAAAAUCUCUUCAUAUAAAGGAAAAGUAGAAGAGCAAUCGUCCACAAUUCAAGAGCAAUCAUUCAAAAUUCAAGACCUAUCUUCUAAAAUAGAUUUUCUUAUGGACCAAAUUGGGGGUAUCAAAGAGAUGAUUCAGCAGCAACGCAUGGGUUCGGUUUAACCGGAGAAUCUACAAUUGACUGGUGGACCCUCAGUUGGGAAUCAUCAAUGUGCAGAGAGAAUACGGCCAUGCAAGUUGUACUCUUGGCGUGAAGAGCUCGUUGCUCAUGGGCGAGUUAUUUUGGCAGAUGGGCCCCAAAUGAUUUAUGGCAAACCUCUUCAAGAAGAUCUUUAUAAGGUUGCCAUUGAUAUCAUUAUCAAAGGAGACGUCGAAUUGCCCGAGCCAGACGGAUUUCAUUCGACUUUAGGCGAAGUUGGAAUUGGCUCAUUUGUUGCAUGGCAUCAUUGCUUUAUUGAGUUCACCGAUUAGCGACAAUAGUAAAAUACUUUUUUGGACACUUAACCUUUUUGGACUGUAAAUAUGUUUUGAUUGUAUAGCUUACUUGAUUAGUUGUUUCUAUAGACUGGACAUGAUAGAUAUAAUGCAAGUUUGCGACAAAUGUGUUGAUGGCUUCGAUCAUCACUGCAUGGUAAUGAAUUAUAUCACAAAUAAAACACUUUACUGAAAGUAGACUCUACCAGUUUGGCUAACACUGCAUUGUUGUUGCCUAUUUUCAAGCAUCUGUAUAGGAGAGAUUUGCUUCUUGCAUCAGAGUUCAAUAUCAUGAAUGAUUAUAUGUUGUCAGGUUUGUCAAUUCAAGAGUUCAAUAUCAUAUUGUUUAUCUAUUGAUCGUUUGGCCUGAAACAUCAGAUUGCUUGAUGAGUUUUGAUUUUUAAACUUUUUUUGAAAAAUUUUCAACUGACAAUCAUGUGAGUUGUAAAAUCUUAUGAUCAGUUUCAGUGUCCUGCCUUCAUCAGAAUUACCACCAUUGUCAGUAACAUCAUCAUCAUUAUCAUCAAACACAAGCUGCAGCUGCUGUUUCUCCUGCAGUUCCAACCAGCUUCUUUCUAGCUCCUCCUCAGAUGGAAACAUAAGGUGGGGCCCUUUACUCCCAGUUGUCUGUAAUGCCACUAAAA